UACAGAGGGUGCAAGCGUUGUUCGGAAUCAUUGGGCGUAAAGGGCGUGUAGGCGGUUUGUUAAGUCAUGUGUGAAAUCCCUCGGCUCAACCGGGGAACGACGCAUGAAACUGCCAAGCUAGAGUACCAAAGAGGGGGGUGGAAUUCCCGGUGUAGUGGUGGAAUGCGUAGAUAUCGGGAGGAACACCAGUGGCGAAGGCGGUUGCCUGGAGCUUUGCUGACGCUGAUGCGCGAAAGCGUGGGGAGCGAUCCGG
rnacentral:rRNA from 1 species